AUGUCAAUGCCAAUUGAAUCAAUCUUAUUAGCUGUCAAUUUGAACUAUUUGGUAUUUUCCGUUUCUUUGGAUGAUAUGAUGGGUCAAUCAUUUGCUUCAUUAGUUCCAGUGGCAGUUGCGGAAUCUGCUAUUGGAUUAGGCAUUUUUGUUAUUACUUUUCGAGUCCGGGGCACUAAUGAUGUCGAAUCUAUAAAUUGCAUUCAAGGUUAA
rnacentral:rRNA from 1 species